rnacentral:rRNA from 1 species
GACGAACGCUGGCGGCGUGCCUAAUACAUGCAAGUCGAACGCUGACGGGCGGAGCUUGCUCUUCUUGGGUGAGUUGCGAACGGGUGAGUAACGCGUAGGUAACCUGCCUUGUAGCGGGGGAUCACUAUUUGAAACGAUAGCUAAUACCGCAUAACAAUGGAUGACACAUGUCGUUUAUUUGAAAGGGGCAGUUGCUCCACUACAAGAUGGACCUGCGUUGUGUUAGCUAGUAGGUCAGGUAAUGGCUCACCUAGGCGGCGAUACAUAGCCGGCCCGAGCGGGUGGUCCGGCACACCGGGGCUGGGACACGGCCCAGGCUUCUUCGGGAGGGAGCAGGAGGGGAUCUUUGGCAAUGGGGGGAACCCUGACUGAGGAACGGCGGGGGAGUGAAGAAGGGCUUUGGGUCGGAAAGCUCUGUUGGAAGGGAAGAAAGGGUGUGCGAGUGGAAAGGUCACACUGUGACGGUAGCGUACGAGAAAGCGACGGCUAACUACGUG